AACGAACGCUGGCGGCAUGCCUAACACAUGCAAGUCGAACGAGGUCUUCGGGUCUAGUGGCGCACGGGUGCGUAACGCGUGGGAAUCUGCCCUUUGGUUCGGAAUAACAGUUGGAAACGACUGCUAAUACCGGAUGAUGACGAAAGUCCAAAGAUUUAUCGCCAGAGGAUGAGCCCGCGUAGGAUUAGCUAGUUGGUGUGGUAAAGGCGAACCAAGGCGACGAUCCUUAGCUGGUCUGAGAGGAUGAUCAGCCACACUGGGACUGAGACACGGCCCAGACUCCUACGGGAGGCAGCAGUGGGGAAUAUUGGGCAAUGGGCGAAAGCCUGAUCCAGCAAUGCCGCGUGAGUGAUGAAGGCCUUAGGGUUGUAAAGCUCUUUUACCCGGGAUGAUAAUGACAGUACCGGGAGGAUAAGCUCCGGCUAACUCCGUGCCAGCCGCCGCCGUAA
rnacentral:rRNA from 1 species